rnacentral:rRNA from 1 species
AACCUGCCCAAGAGAUCGGGAUAACACCUGGAAACAGAUGCUAAUACCGGAUAACAACAGAUGAUGCCUAUCAACUGUUUAAAAGAUGGUUCUGCUAUCACUCUUGGAUGGACCUGCGGUGCAUUAGCUAGUUGGUAGGGUAACGGCCUACCAAGGCGAUGAUGCAUAGCCGAGUUGAGAGAUUGAUCGGCCACAUUGGGACUGAGACACGGCCCAAACUCCUACGGGAGGCAGCAGCC